AUUGAACGCUGGCGGCAUGCCUUACACAUGCAAGUCGAACGGCAGCACGGACUUCGGUCUGGUGGCGAGUGGCGAACGGGUGAGUAAUGUAUCGGAACGUACCCUUCAGUGGGGGAUAACUAUCCGAAAGGAUAGCUAAUACCGCAUAUUCUCUGAGGAGGAAAGCGGGGGAUCGCAAGACCUCGCGCUGAUGGAGCGGCCGAUAUCAGAGUAGCUAGUGGGUGGGGUAAAGGCCUACCAAGGCGACGAUCUGUAGCGGGUCUGAGAGGAUGAUCCGCCACACUGGGACUGAGACACGGCCCAGACUCCUACGGGAGGCAGCAGUGGGGAAUUUUGGACAAUGGGGGCAACCCUGAUCCAGCCAUGCCGCGUGAGUGAAGAAGGCCUUCGGGUUGUAAAGCUCUUUCGGCCGGGAAGAAAUCGCGUGAGUUAAUACCUUGCGUGGAUGACGGUACCGGAAUAAGAAGCACCGGCUAACUACGUGCCAGCAGCCGCGGUAACAC
rnacentral:rRNA from 1 species